rnacentral:piRNA from 1 species
UCCGAAAAAAGAAUUUCCCGAUAUUUUU